rnacentral:tRNA from 1 species
CGUCUAGCGGUUUAGGACGCCGCCCUCUCAAGGCGGAGGUCGCCGGUUCGAAUCCGGUC